CGCUUUUAGCUCACAUUACACCCUGAAUUUGUAAGCAGAGAUUUGGAAUGUGUCAAUGUGCUGUACAGAGCCAGCGAGAGGCAUGCUUCAAUGCAUGCUUGCCACACACAAUGUGCCCAGAGAGAUUGAUGUUUUUGUCAUCCACCUGCUUCUAAGCUGCAACAAACAGCCAUCUGAUGCAAACAGAGGAACCUAGCUAUUCAGCUCACAAACAAAAGAGAGAGAACCUCACAGCCCCUUUUUGCACAUCUGUUCUGGAGGAAUACAUCAGCUUUCUGACUGUGGCGCACACUGGGCUCGAAUGAUCCUGAAUGCAGUGUCUGGGAUUGGAACCUUCUGAACACAGAUGGUGUCGCAAAGAAACCAAAGAACUGAGUCCAUCUUCUGCCUGAAGCAAAGCCCUCCUUCCUCUCCUCUGGCUAGGUACUUGACAGUUGGAGCCAGUCAGGGUCACCUCCCACACUUCCCAGGGAUUUGAAGGGUGCAGCUCCGGAGCUGGAGGCCCCACGCCCCAGCGGCUGCCUGACUUGCCCCCAGCGAGAAGGCAGUUGAAGUGCAGGCAAGUCCGGGUCACACUGCCGAAUGGGAGCUGCGGGCCUCGAGGCUCGGCCAGGCUCGGCCGGGCACUGACACUUUUCUUGCUGUGAAAUAAGGCCAGACACAGGCUGCCAGGCACUGACUUGACCUCCUCAAACUGACGUGGUACUCGCUGGCAGAGUUCUCACCACUGCCACCGAGGUUGAAAACAAACUCUGCCCCCUUUUCAGUUCUUACUUUUUCCUUUGUUUUUGUUGAAAGCUUUUUUUUUUUUUCUCAUUUCUCCUUAAUUUUGUUCCUGCAUCAAACUGAAUGGAAGUUUAUAGUCGACAUCACAAACAGAAGAGUAAAGCACAACAAUCUAUUUUAAACGUCUGAUUUGUUGCAUUUUAUUUAUUAACAACAUAUAACAACAACAAAAAUAAUAAUUCUCACAUGAGAACAUAUUUCAAUCUACAUGUUACUGCUCUGAAACUGAGAACUUUUGACCCUUUUCAUUCUCUCUUUUUAUGUAAAAUCUAGCAAAUUAUUUAUUUCUAGAAACUCCACUUUUUGUGAUAAAUAAGAACAUUUCCAAAGUGAAUUAAUGACUGCAACUACACCCUAGCUUGAGCAACCUGAUGCAAAACAAUAGCUGAAAUUCUUUGACAGGUAAAAAAAAAACUCCUUCGACUGUUCCUGUCAGCUCCUUGAAUUUGAUUCCAUUUGAUGUAUCUUAACAUUUCACAUAUUUCAAGAGAUUAAAAAAAGGGUGAGUAUUAAUUCAGCAGUCAUUUAAAAGAUAUCCCGCCAAGGUAAAUCAGGUUAAUUGAACCUCUGUUACCAUAAAAAUGUCUUCUAAAUCCAUCCUCACUUUUUUUUGUCUCUGGCAACAUCUUGACAUAUCAUCAUCCGAGGUUUUGUUUAAUCAAAUUACACCGGCGCU